UGAUCGGCGGGGCGAGAGGGGGGUGGAGGACGGGGGAGCAGAGAGUUAUCCGGAGUUGUUGGGUUUAAAGGGUGCGUAGGCGGAAGAAUGAGGCAGUUGUGAAAGUUUGCAGCUCAACUGUAAGAUGGCCAUUGAAACUGCUGUGCUUGAGUACAGGAGAUGUAGGCGGAAUGUGGAGUGUAGCGGUGAAAUGCAUAGAUAUUACACAGAACACCGAUUGCGUAGGCAGCUUACUGGAGUGUAACUGACGCUGAGGCACGAUAGCGUGGGGAUCAAACAGGAUUAGAUACCCGAGUAGUC
rnacentral:rRNA from 1 species